GACGAACGCUGGCGGCGUGCUUAACACAUGCAAGUCGAGCGGUAAGGCCCUUUCGGGGGUACACGAGCGGCGAACGGGUGAGUAACACGUGGGUGACCUGCCCUCAGCUCUGGGAUAAGCCUGGGAAACCGGGUCUAAUACUGGAUAUGACUCCAUGACGCAUGUUGUGGGGUGGAAAGCCUUGUGCGGCUGAGGAUGGGCCCGCGGCCUAUCAGCUUGUUGGUGGGGGGUGGCCUACCAAGGCGACGACGGGUAGCCGGCCUGAGAGGGCGACCGGCCACACUGGGACUGAGACACGGCCCAGACUCCUACGGGAGGCAGCAGUGGGGAAUAUUGCGCAAUGGGCGAAAGCCUGACGCAGCGACGCCGCGUGAGGGAUGACGGCCU
rnacentral:rRNA from 1 species